GGGGGCGGAGCAGCCCGCCUCCCCCCGCAGGCCCCGCGGCAGCCCAGGGCCGGCAACUUUCCUUCGGUGCUUUGGAACCUCUGAGAUGGUCUGAGGAAGAUGCUAACUAGAAUGCAGGUCUGAAACUCAGUGGAAACUGGAUCCUUGGGAAUGCGUCCUGCAGGUGCCAGUUUGAUUUUCCAACAAAUUACUCAGUGCUUUUGGACUCAGGAUGAUGUCAGUUGGCUCCCACUUACCUCCUGCGCUGCUAUUACAUUACUACUAAAGCACUCGAGGUCCUAGAUGAAAGGACCCUGAACUUUGGCCCACCCUGAGCCUGAGCCAGCAUGCAGCCCUCCGAAGGGCAGCUCCCUGAGAAGAGGCUGGCCUCAGGGUAAGACAUUUCUGAU